rnacentral:misc_RNA from 1 species
GGUGCUUCUUCGUCCGCACCCUCUCGCUCGGGGGCGCGUUCAGUCGGCUUCGAGCCGCGAGUGGGGUAAGUUGCGUCGCGCGCCGGCUCGCCUGGCUCUUUCGCUAAGCGGACGGACAGCCAGCAGCGACGCCACCCCCGCGCGCAUCGGUCGUUUCCGUUCGCCGUUAAAUCGCAAACAAGCAGCGACGAGAUCGUCGACGCAUCGUCGCGCGCCGAUUUCACCGGCGCGGCGCGGCGCGGCGCGGCGCGGCGCGGCUGGAUGCACCGUGAAUGCACCGCGAGCGCGUUUCGUGAUCCAUCCGUUUGGUUUCACCUUGCUCCUCCUCUCGGGGGCUCUCGGCCCCCGACUUAUAACGACGACGACGACGACGACGACGAGGACGCCGGGGACGAGGACGACGGAAAAGGGACGACACGCUCGUCGAGUCGCGCGUCGCAUGUGAGCGCGUGCGGGAAUCUUCGUCAUGCUGAGGGAUGAGGACAUGCUACCGUGAUGUUACACCGAAGCGCCUCGUCGCGACGCCGGCGAGCGUCGCCAAGCGUGGCGAAUUUGAAUCAGCCGGCAGGAGCGUCAUCGGUGAUAAGAGGUAGACGAGCGAGUGUCGCCACCGAGAAGCCUCUCGUCCUGCCGCCAAGCAGCCCCGGUGAAACGAUGGAGAGGCAACGGUCGCCGAGGGGUAGCAUGGUGCCGGAUAUCGCUCUCGAUACCGAGGGCGACUCGCCCGAUGAGGGAAUAUGUCGCAGGAUUCUACCGGAUCCCGAGCAGUAUCUCGUCGGCCGCAGUUGUCUCGCGCCCGAGGCGAGUCGCAGCCCGCGAAACUCGCUGAUACCGGACGACUACUGCAGGAGCCCGCGGGGCUCGCUGGUGCCGGAUCCCAGCAGGAGUCCGCGCAACAGUCUGGUACCGGACGUGGCGAGGACGUCGCGCAGCAGCCUGACGCCGGAGGUCUCGCUGAGUCCUCGUCACUCCCUGAUACCCGACUCGGUGCUCAGCCCGAGGAAUUCCCUGGUGCCCGACGUGGCCUACAACCGGAGCCCGCGCAACAGCAUGGCCGCCUCCAGGAUAUCCCUCAUGCCGGAGAACGGCAACACGAGCCUCGGCGCCACUCGCAGCCCGAGGCACUCGCUGGUGCCGGACUCGACGAGGAGCCCGCGUGGCAGCAUGGCGAACUUGGACUUCGACCGAAGCCCGCGCGGCUCGAUCUGCCCGGAAGUGCACAGAACACCCAGAGGUAGCAUCACGCCCAUGGAGGUCAUAGACAGGAGUCCACGCGGUUCGAUAGCCUCCGAGUGCCUGAACCAGAGUCCCCGCGGCUCGAUCGCGCCCGAUCCCAACCGAUCGCCCAGGGGCUCGAUAGUGCCGGAUUCCAAUCGCUCCCCCCGCGGCUCGAUAUGUCCGGAGGGCAACAGGAGUCCGCGGGGUUCGAUCGUGCCGCACGAGCAGAUCAAUCGAUCGCCGCGCGGUAGCUUAGGCAUGAACGACGUCGACCGGCACUCGCGAGGCUCCCUCGGAGCUGUCAACGAUGAUGAAAGCAGAAGUCCUAGAGGGAGCAUCGGGCCGGAUGGGGUAGAUAGGAGUCCCAGGGGUAGUCUCGGAGGCAUGCAGGACCGAAGGAUGCCGAGGAGCUUGAAUCCUAGAAGAGCUUCCGCGGAUCAGGGGAGCACGAGAAACCGAAGUUCCUCGCCUUAUCGCCAAAGAGAAGUGAGCUCAGGAAGCGUCAGAUCAGGCGGGAGCGGCGGCGCCCAGGUCAACCUGGGAUACGGAACGAAUGCCUGGGCCGAUUCCAGGCGAGCCAGCAGCUCCGUCUCGCAGCUUUCAGGCGACGAGUCGCGUCGACUUUGCGCCAGCGGCGCCAAGGCACCCGAAAAGGGCGACGCGGAAGCUGCGAAUGUCGGCGUAGCGACCUACGGCUCGGUCGUGUUCCAGCUGAAGGACGCCCAUCUCGAAGCGAACGGCAUCUGCGACUUUGUCUUUCGCGCGCUGAGGGUCAUCAGCAAGACGAUGACGUUCACCAUAUGUCUCUCGUGUCUGUCCACUGUGCCUAUCCUGAUGUUCAUCUUCGGUGUGCAGUUUAUCAAGGAUUGCCCGAUAGAGCCGUACAUCCCCGUGUACAUGCUGAUCGGUGGAGUUUUAGGCGCCGUGCGUAUGUUCUGGGCGCUUUAUUCGCAGAUACGCUCUCGGAGGCCGGAGGUCUUAUCCGUUCCCGGUGCUAGACCACACGUCUCGCCCAUGAAAUUACUCUCCAUAGCUUUAUCGUGCUUCCUGGUCGGGUGGUUCGCGUUAGGACAUUAUUGGAUACUGCACAUAAAGUGGCCGGAAUACGAAUUUUCGUUGUACGCGCCCAAUAAGUGGUGUCACAAGACGCUCUAUAUUUUUUCUUUGGUUCAUCUAUGCGUGGUGUAUGCGGUUUUGUUAGUGAUACUAUUGGUCGCGGUCGGUCUGGCUUUCUGCAGAAUUCUGGAAUGCCCUUUACCGGAAAGAUAUAGAAAGCGACACUUCCAAUCAAGAUUAGUUUUCCUAAAAAUUUUCAAGAUAGGGGAGUAAUAAGCGCGACGUCGCGCGGAUUUUCUUCGGGGAAUGUGCGAGCGCGAGUCGUAAUGAAAAUAACGCGCGAUGUCGACCAAGUUUCCGUAGAGAUUGGCGGUGGAAACUAUUUUACGACGCGCGGCGAUCCCCCCGACGGCGCAAGAAAAAAGGAAAAAAUACAAAAUUUCCCACGGCGCGUCACCGCGUUUCAAUCUGCGUAUAUUAAAACACUCACUCGAUACAUCUGGAGAGCUGAGUAGCAUGCGCGCAUAUCACGUAUCGUGCGGCUCGUAUAAACGCACACCUAUCAUAUUUCUAUCGUUGGCGAAAUGUGAACGCCCACGCAAAGCCCAUGCUGCGUGCUCCACGUGAUAACGAGAUGAUUGAAAUAUUUGCGGCGAUUACAAGGGAAAGACCUUUGUAACAAUUCCUCUAUCGCGACUUGGACUUUCACAACCUGCGCACGAGACACACACACACAGAGGCGUCCAAAGUAGGAGAAAAGAAAAGGAAGUAGGCAGAGCAAAACAUUUUGUGUUAUAUAGCGUAAACAUUUUUUCUCAUUUUCGAUAUUGCUACACGCUCUCCCCCAAAGAGCGCCCUUCAAAACUGGGAGAAUACGAAUCUGAAUAGGAAACACCUGUGCCGGGGAAUCAUGUUUGUCUAGCCGUUACUCCCGAAAAUUGUAACUCUGCGACCGGUGCAAUUUCAACGACAUUUUUCUGUCAACCAUACAAAUAACCACGGCGAUCUGUUCGCCAGAAUAAAACUCGCGAGAGGAGAAAAAAGUCGGCGGCUAGCGAUAGGGAUGGUGGCUGGCGUUUAGACAGACGCAAGGUCCUGGAGGACCUGCAGGAGGAAGAGGACGACGAUGACGAUUAUGAGCGGAGCGGCGAUGCCGAUCCGGACGAGGACGACGGCUGUAACAAGAUCGUCCAGGAGGUGAAGUUCAGCAGCAAAGUGCAAUUUCGCGCGCCGGAUAUCAUCGAGCUGUGAUGAGUCGAGCGACCACGACGGAGGAGACGGAAGUUGAGGCCGUAGCGUCGGCAAUGAAAGGAUCGCGAGGACGAUGAGGGACGGGCUGGCACGGAGCAAUUCGUAAUCUCGAAAAGUUUAACGCGAUAAUGAGAACACAAGCCGCGAGGGCGAGAUCAGCGAAGAGGAGGGGAGGAGGUCCGAGAAAGGAGAGAGAAGGAUGAUGAGAUUGCAGCGGAAGAAUGGAUAAUGAGGUCGCGGAAGAAAAGCAUCGCGGGAGGCCGAUAACGGUAUAUCUUUUUCAUGAGUAGUCGAGGUCUCGACCUCGACACGUGCGGCACGGAGAGGAUCCGCCUAUCGCGGGGAGAGAUCCGGAAGAGAGUCCUCGAGAGAUUCGGCAUCGCCGAGAUUCGGCAUUUAGUCGAUAAAACGGAGACAGUGAGGUCCGCGGGAGAGUGUAAUCGCGCCUGGAUUGAUUUAUCCCCGGUAAUUCAUGGAGUUUUCAGCGAGGACGCUGAGGAGCUGAGGAGAGAUAUCGAGCGCAUCGUGGGAAUCGAUCAUUGCAUCAACAGUAAACACCGAUAAACCGUUAAAAUGUAAAUGAAAACGUUGAUAUCGCAAUUUGUCAUCGUUGUCCUUGGGAGACGGAGAAAAAGAGAGUGUACGCGCGAACAACUUCGACGCAAGGACGUCGUCUCGCGAUGAAAAAUGAACAACCAGCGGGAGCUCCUCGCAGAGAGAGAGAGAGAGAGAGAGAGAGAGAGAGAGAGAUCAAUGGAUUCGAGCGGAUUCAUGCCGGGCAGCGGCAGAGAUCCGCCUAGCAGCAGCAGCAGCAGCGACGAGGGAAAACAGAAUGAGUUCUAUCGGUGGAAGCAGAUUCGCCGAUCGUCCGUAAGAAUGAUACUGGACGGAGCGCGUCCUCGCGACUGAGACAGAGAAUAUUUUCCGAGGAACUUCGUCCCGGGGCGCCGUUCGAUACGAGUCGCGUGCACGGCUGUGUGCGGGCCACGACGGAGAAAUCAAUAUGGAGACCUCCACGAGGCACUUACAUCAGAACGAGGAUUUCCGAUAGCGAAUCUUCGAUUCGACGCUUUUGCUAAUGCGCUCCUUCUCCUCCUGCUCCUCCCCCUCCCCCCGCCCCGUUACUUCCUCGCUAUCUCUCUUUUACGCACAAAUUGAACGCGGAAAUUGGAUUUUAAGGCACGCGAUAGAGCCUAAUCGAAUUAGCAUCGCCGAGGGCGAUGUAUUCUUCUUCGCCUGGAAAUGUUCACCGGCGAACUCCAGGUCGCAUCAACACCGAUUUCGCGCGAUUAAUUGCCGGACUCGCGUGUAGCCAUCGAUCUUCCGAUCCCCUUAAUUCGCCCGACUGCGGGGAGGCCGGCCGCGCUUCCUCUACUUUCAACAUCGAGCUUCCAGCAAGGAUAUAACUCGGAAAGGAAAAGAAAGUGAAAGAGAGAGAGAGAGAGAGAGA